AGCUCCAAUAGCGUAUAUUAAAGUUGUUGCAGUUAAAAAGCUCGUAGUUGGAUUUCUGGGAGGGUGGCGAUGUCCGCUUAACGUGUGUGCAGCGGCGCCCUUCCAUCCUUCUGUUAGCGUCUCUUGGCAUUCAUUUGCUGGUGGCGGGCUCAGAUAUUUUACCUUGAGAAAAUUAGAGUGUUUCAGGCAGGCUAGGCCGGAAUACAUUAGCAUGGAAUAAUGGAAUAGGACUACGGUCUCUUUGUUGGUUUGAGGGACUGCAGUAAUGAUUAAUAGGGAUAGUUGGGGGCAUUAGUAUUUAAUUGUCAGAGGUGAAAUUCUCAGAUUUGUUAAAGACUAACUUAUGCGAAAGCAUUUGCCAAGGAUGUUUUCAUUA
rnacentral:rRNA from 1 species